rnacentral:misc_RNA from 1 species
UCUCCGUAGGUGAACCUGCGGAGGGAUCAUUACAGAGCAUCAUGCCCUUCGGGGUAGAUCUCCACCCUAUGUAUUUAUACCUUUUGUUGCUUUGGCGGGCCGCCUCGGCCACCGGCUCCGGCUGGUGCGUGCCCGCCAGAGGACCCCAAACUCUGAAUGUUAGUGUCGUCUGAGUAAAAAUUUAAUAAGUUAAAACUUUCAACAACGGAUCUCUUGGUUCUGGCAUCGAUGAAGAACGCAGC